AUGAACUCAUUUGGGACUAUUACAACAAUUUUAGUCUGAGAUUCACCUCUGGGUCGGUAACAUCAGCAUGGCAUCGAUUGGAAAAAGGCAUCAUCACUGGUUGUACUAUUUCAGUGGUGCUGUUUGCCCUAGCGAUGAACAUGAUGGUCAAAGCAGCAGAAGUGGAAUGUAGGGGACCAUUGUCCAGAUCGGGCAUUCGCCAACCUCCGAUUCGAGCCUUCAUGGAUGAUCUGACAGUCACAGCAACAACAGUGACAGGAUGCCGUUGGCUUCUGAGAGGGUUAGAGAGGAUCAUCACUUGGGCGAGAAUGAUGUUCAAGCCUGGGAAAUCUAGGUCGCUGGUCCUGAGGAAAGGUAGAGUGGUGGAGAAGUACCGCUUCAACUUGGAUGGUGUCCUCAUUCCAUCAGUUUCAGAGAAGCCUGUGAAGAGCCUGGGGAAGAUAUUUGACAGCACCCUGAAAGACAAGGCAGCAGUCCAGUCUACACAGGCAGAGCUCAAGAGCUGGCUCUCAGCAGUGGAGAAGUCAGGACUUCCAGGAAAGUUCAAGGCCUGGAUAUAUCAAGAUGGUAUUCUGCCAAGAAUCUUGUGGCCACUGCUGAUAUAUGAGGUCCCAAUAACCAUUGUGGAGGGCUGGGAGCGUAACAUUAGUCACUACCUGCGAAGGUGGCUGGGCUUGCCAAAGAGCCUAUGCAGCAUUGCCCUUUAUGGGCAAACCAACAAGUUGCAGCUUCCCUUCACUGGUCUGACAGAGGAGUUCAGAGUCACCAGAGCCAGGGAGGUGCUGCUUUACAGAGACUCAGCGGAUAACAGAGUCUCCUCUGCAGGCAUCACUGUCAGAACUGGAAGUAAGUGGAAAGCACAGGAGGCAGUUGCACAGGCUGAAGCAAGGCUGAGGCAUGGUAUCUUGGUUGGAUCAGUGGUGGUUGGACGGACUGGGCUUGGUAGCUAUACAAGACCACGCUACGAUAAAGCCCAGGGAAAAGAAAGACGUCAGAUGGUCCAGGCAGAGAUCCGUGCAGGGGUGGAGGAGGAACGCCCAAGCAGGACUGUGACCAUGCACCAACAGGGAGCCUGGACUAACUGGGACAAUGCAUCGGCACGGAAGAUCACUUGGACAGGGGAACUGAACUUUGGAAGUCAGAGCCAGCAGGAUUUUCUGAUCCAGUCUGUGUAUAAUGUCCUCCCAAGCCCAUCCAACCUGUAUUGCUGGGGGCUAGCAGAAACACCAGCAUGUCCGCUGUGCCCGGGUCAAGGCUCCCUAGAACAUAUUUUAAGCUGCUGCCCUAAAGCCCUGGGAGAGGGGAGAUACACCUGGCGCCAUGACCAGGUGCUAAAAGCAAUAGCAGAUGCCAUCUGCUCCAGAAUUAAGGAGAGUAAGCAUCAGCUCCCACAAAAGCGCAGCAUCACCUUCAUCAGGGCAGGGGAUAAACCUCAGGUGGUUCACAAGGUCUUUUCUGGGCUACUGGCAACAGCUCAUGACUGGCAGUUGAAAGCAGACCUUGGGAGACAGCUGAAGUUCCCAGAGCACAUUGCAAGAACAUCACUCAGGCCUGACCUGGUCUUAACAUCUGAGUCUACCAAGCAAGUAGUGCUGCUGGAGCUCACAGUUCCCUGGGAAGAUCGGCUGGAGGAGGCCCACGAACGGAAGAAGGCCAAGUAUCUGGAGCUGGUAGAGUCCUGCAGAGAGAGUGGCUGGAGGACCCGCUGUGAGCCAAUUUAGGUGGGCUGUACGGGAUUACUAGGACAGUCUGUGCACCGUGCAUUCAAGCUCCUUGGUAUCAGAGGGUUGCUAGAGAAAAGAGCCACCAGAAACAUCAGUGAAGUGGCUGAAAAAGCCUCAAGGUGGCUGUGGAUCAAGAGGGGAGAUGGAUGGAGUAGCGCUGCUUGGACACAAACCGGGGAUUGAUCACCCUGGGUUGGGUCGCCCAGGUGAGGGUGUCUGAUGAUUUAAGACCAGAAACACCCUAUGACCCAGGGUUCAUCACUGACGAUGUGUCCAAGCUGCACCGGAAAGGUGUAUUACUGGACUAUUACAAUCCCUUUUUAUUGCAUAAGUUCAAAUAUAUGUUGGUAAGUUAACAGAACACCCUUCACUUAAACAUGUUUCAUUCAAAUUUAAACCAGAUAAAGAUUUAAAAGGUAAAAUAUGUAAUUUUA
ensembl:lncRNA